AAAUUUCGCACCCACUCAACGAGCUUACAUCCUCCCAGAACAGAAGUUUGGAGGGGAGCAUGAAAGAAACAGAAGUCAGGCGAUUUAUCAGAACUCCAGUGAUUUUGCAGCGUUGUUUUGACGAUCCAGAGAAACACUCAGAAGAACCUACAGAAGGAGUACUACCACCAAUGUCCAAAACAUUACAAAGAUUAAUUUACAAACAAGGCACAAUUCGACGUGGGAUUUUCAGAAAGACUAUAUUGGAUCCAACAGUAAUGUCACAACACACAAGUGUGAGUAACUGUUUUUAUUAUGUGGUCACUAUUGCUUUGUCUCUUCUUACAGAUCGCUUGAUAUGUACUGAGUAUUUAUGCGUUCAAACAUACACAACUGUUAGCCAAUCAUAG
ensembl:lncRNA